UCUCCACUUAGAGCUGAAAGUUUUUUUCUUUUUGUUAUCUUCAUAGCUUGGAGCCACAGGAGAAUAUCUGAGGAAAUGGUGCAUCUGAUUAAUCUGAGACUCUGCUAUAGUAUGGAAUUAGUGCUGAAAUCCUAUAGCUGUGUGCCCUGUGUUGGGUGGUCAGUGCGCGGUUUUUGUCAGUGCAUAGUGAAAAAUCUGCUCAAGAACAACUGUUUCUAUGAGAUCCCCCUGCUCAGGGAUGGUUCCGUUUUACAGAAACAAUUCAUUGCAAGAUUUUUUUUGACUCCUUAUGAGUAUAGAAAAUUGGCUGCUUCUGAAAUGCUGUUAUUAAUCUCAUUUCUAUAACAUUCUGAAAAAUCAAGAGCAGGGUCUGUUUUGUCCAAAUCAAUUUCUCUGCGAUUUUCCUCAGUUAUGAGAGAUAUCCUCAUUUUUUUUUUCCUGCCUGUUCAUGCCCCAAGUGCCUCACAGCACAAAUGUACCCUCUGGCCCUUCCUAUAAGUAUCUCCAGAUGACCUAACAUGGUCUUCAUAGUGCUCUGCAAUGAACAGUGUCACACUGACCUACUGCAGUGGCUAAAUUUAAGCUCCUUUCUUCUUCUUCUUCUUCUUCUUCUUUUAAUUGCCAUAUGUGUUCCCACUACUUGUGUGAUACUGGGAAGGGAACCCCAAUGCCAAUCUUCCCUUGCAUUUGGAGGAGCCUGUCUUGAUUUUGGAUGCCCUUUUUACACUUUUAAUAGAUGUAUUCUCUGAGCACAAAGACCCAACUUCACAUCUGGUUAUAGCACUGACAGAACCAUGGCAAUGUUUCACUCUCAGCAGGCACUUGACUGGAAAAAAAGAAUAACCCAUGCCUCUGACACACUGUUUCCAUGUGUUCUGUCUGCUGCCUCUGGCCUUGGUCUGGGGAGCAUUUUUAACCCUCUGCUCCUUGCCAAAAGCUCAAUGAGAAGGAACAUCCCCUUGGGUUCCUUUAGUUGAGGCCACAGUAUGCCUGGGCUCCUGCAGCCCCAGUGCAGCACAACUGCAGCCUGUCAGCAUCCCCUCACUCCCCCCUAACGUGUUUCUAUUUACUGCCAUAAUCAGCGCCCCUGAAAGGCAAGGCUGAACAACUGCUGUUAAAUAUAAUUGUCGCUGUGACAGGUCCAUUGUGGUGAGAAAAUUUGUGCCUUUCAGAGCUGACUCUCUGCUAAAGAGCAGUGGUAAAACCAGAGCUGAUUUCCUGGCCCGCAUGGCAGUGGAUCUGAGGAGUGAAGGCCGCUCCCUGUAUCCCAUGUGCAUCGAGGAGUGUUCAGCGUUAACCCUUCUCUCCAUUGCACAGGUGAGGCCAUGGAUGCCGAUGGUUCUGCAUCGCACAGAGCAGAGCCAGCAGGCGAGGGAGGUGCUCCUUCCCUUUGCUCUGCCCAGAGCUGGGCUGCCCAGUCCCAGGCAGACAGGGAAUGGCUGCAGAGAGCCCAGCAGAGGGCUGCAGAGAUGGUGGGGGCCUGGAGCACCUCCUGAUGGGGACAGGCUGAGAGCCCUGGGGCUGUUCACCUGGGGACUGGGAGGGAUCUGAUCAGUGCUGAUCAAUAUGUGAAGGGCGGGGGUCAGGAGGAUGGGGCUGGGCUCUGUUCUGUGCUGCUCAGCACCAGGACGAGGGGCACCGUGCACAGACUGGAGCCCAGGGAGUUCCAUAUGGGCGUGAGGAAGAACUUCUGUGCUGUGAGGGUGGCACGGAGAGGUGAGGUCUCCUUCCCUGGAGAUGUUCUGAUCCCCCUGGGUGCUCUUCUGUGCAGCUGCUGUAGGGAACUGCUUUGGGGGGGGAGCUGGUUGGACUGAGUCCAGAAGUCCAAUUCUGAACCAUAAGGAUUUAUGAUUCUAUGAACUUCCACAAAGCCCUGAUCCUGCCUCAGAGGGACGUCUUUGGUUGUGGCUGGCUUGUUUGGGUUGAAGUAUUCACUGAGAAACAGUGGGAUGUGUCCUCCUCUGUGGACUUUGGCUGAGACUCUUCCCUCGAGCACAGGAUUCAGCCUAAAAGAAGUCCUAUGUAACCGUCAGGCAGCCAAGAGACGAGAUCAUAAAACACAGCCCUGGAGAUUGUGGGAUGCAAUGGGGUGACAGCAGGAGACGGGUCAGACAGCUGAGAUCAACACAAAAACAUUUCCCACUGCAUCCUGAGAAGUGUUAGUGUUUGCAGGCAACACUAUGGAGCGACACCGAUCUGCGAUGCUGUUGAGACCCAUAGUUGGUUUGUUUCUGCUUCAUCUUCUGAGGAAACAAAGCAAGUGCUCAGCGUGCUUCCGCAUGAGAGGUUUCACCUGUGCAACAGACAUCCAGGUAAUAGAAGUGUGAUCACUGACCAUGAUGGUGCAGGAGCUGUGUCCUGCUGCCUCUUCCUCGACUAUUCCCCUCACUGCAGCCAUGGGAACCUCUGGCAGUAAUGAGGGAAACCUCCAUCUGCCUCAUCUACAUGCUUCCAUUAUGACCUUCCACUCUGAGAAAGUAAGUGUAAUUCUUCCCUGAAAAAUACCAGCCUGGUCUGGUGGGAGGUGUCCCUGCCCAUUGCAGGGACUGGAAGUGGGCCAUCCUAAAGGUCCCUUGCUCCAACCCAUUCUAUGAUGAUACCCAAACUAAUGGUACGUAUGUGCCAGUGUCACUGCAGCUGUUUUGCUAAAUGCUCUCCAAAUUAGGUUGUUUCCUUGCAGCUGCACGUUUGGCUUGUAACAGUGGUCUGUUUUUAGAAAGAUCUCAAGCACACCAGAGGAAGAGCAACCUGGUACCUGUCUGCAUAUGCCAGCAGCGGCUGCAUUACACAGAGCAACUCCUUCAUUCAUUGCCCGCUCCUAACAACAAACAGGUGCAGUCAGCAUUUCAGACAAUCUUCCUUUAAUACAAAGUCAAUAUAUCUACAUACACUGUGGUAUGAAAACCACUUAAUGUUUCAGUUUGAAAUAACAGUGUGAAAGCAACAGCACUUUGCUCUCAUACAAAGAAAAAAAACCUUCCCCCACCCCACCCCAACUCUUCCAGUAAGAUUUUGCUGCAACAUACUUAGAAAUUUGGGCAACUUUCACACAAAUAAGAAGUAAAAUCUUGAAGAAGCCUUUUGUUUUUUUUUGUUUUUUUUUUUCAUUUAAAGGCAGGAAAUGGAUUGUUGUGGGGUUUUCUGGGUAGCACUGGAUGACAAUAAUUACCCCUUCUAGAAAAAUAAAAAAGCCACAGGCAAGCAGUGUCCUGGGCAGUGCAUCUUUUCCAACACAUGCUGUCCUCUGUGCACUUCUGUAAGGAAAUUCCUUGUUCUGUACCCCUGUUACACUUAUCAUAACUUCACACCAGUGCAUGGACAGAGUUAGGCUCUUACCUCCAUUACACUGCUGAUGUUUAAAAGCUGUGUGCUUGCCCACAUGUGCUGUGGCUCUGAAGCUGCUGUAUUUUUGUCUUCAGUCCUAAGACACUGGCAUUUUUUUAAUCUCCCAGUUCACCCCUGGCCCUGGUAGGAUGGAGCAGCACGGCCACAGCUGAAGGGGAGGAGGUUGGCACUGCCACCAGGUCUGGGCCUGCCUGCUGAUCUCACACACUUCUGAAGACACGUGAUAUGUCUGAGAUUUUAAACAAAACAAACAAAAAAAUAAUCCAGAAAGGACAUUUUGUUCUUACAUGAGCAAGUUAAACCUUUUAAAUGGUAGAAAAGCAAUAUGUAGAAGUAGCAAUUUGCACUGCAUUUUUAUAUAUCACAGCCAUUACACGUAACAUUUCUACAGUGAAAAAAUAGACUGUCUUUGAACAUAAUAUGAACAAAUAAGCAAUUUUUUUCUUUUAAAUUCAUUGACUGAUAUUCUUUGUCUUUAAAAAAAAAAAAA